UUAGCCAUUUGUCAGGCAAAGUCAAAACAGCCCUCCAGCUACAGCACAGACGGCAGUCUGCAGCUCGUCAGCAUUUUAUUUAUGACUCUUAAUUAGCAAGCAAAAAAGGAGGGAAGAAGUUCCCAGUUUGGGAUAUACAUACUUAUACAUACAUAUUUUGCCCAGAAAUUAUCUUUGUCAAAAUAAUUUAAAUCCUUACAACCCUGGGAUGUAGAUAUUAUAAUUUACAUUUUAUAGACAGGAAAUUCCAUCCUGCAAGGUUUUUGUUUUUUAAGUCCUGUGAAAUCCAAAGGACAAAGUGUGUCUAUUUAUUCUCAAGGAUUCCAAGCCUCACUAAAGAAUGAACAGGAAGGCCACAGCUUCCAAACCCUCUGAGGAGGUGUGGUUGGCAUUGUGGAGACGGCCAGUAUUUCUGGUUCUCUCCUCCUGCAGGGACGUGAAAAGAUCGCACUUCUUCAUCCCCCUGAAGUAUGAAUUUAAAUCGACUGACAAGAGAAGGAAAGAUCAGCAGCAACUCCUCUGGCACAGUCAGUCAGAGCAUCUCCAUG